CCCAGCCGCCGGCCGUGCCACACUGGAACGUCUCGCUUAAAGUAACAGAAAAAGCAAAUGAGAAGAUCUGGCCACCCAAGGCUCACGUCACGUAUCUGUGAGACAACCCAGAAGGCUCUGACUUCAGGCCCCCAAUAGACUAGAAUGUGGGAGGAACCCUUCUUGUUGCCUUCUCCACCAUUACCCACUCCCCUCCGUUGGAGGAGGCGUGCCUAACCAGAUGCGUGGGGGUCUCUCAUUUCUGGAGGAAGAGUGUGGAUGGUAAUGGCCACUGGCUGAAGCUCUCCUGUCCCUCCAUGCGGUCAGCGCAGCACAGGCUCUCCCUUUGUGCUCCUCCCAAUUCUUGCACA